rnacentral:rRNA from 1 species
UACGUAGGUGACAAGCGUUGUCCGGAUUUACUGGGCGUAAAGAGCGCGCAGGCGGUCGUUCAAGUCGAGUGUGAAAGCCCCCGGCUCAACUGGGGAGGGUCACUCGAUACUGAUCGACUCGAAGGCAGGAGAGGGUAGUGGAAUUCCCGGAGUAGUGGUGAAAUGCGUAGAGAUCGGGAGGAACACCGGUGGCGAAGGCGGCCAGCUGGCGCUGACCUGACGCUGAGGCGCGAAGGCAUGGGGAGCGAACGGG